rnacentral:misc_RNA from 1 species
AAGGAGUCUAUCACAUAUGCGAGUGUUCGAGUGACAAACUCAUACGCGAAAUGAAAGUAAGAAUAAGGGGCCAAAGCGUAGGCUGGCAGCAUCGGCCUUCCUUGAUCUUCUGCGAAGGGAAAGAGUAAGAGCAUAUCUGAUAGGACCCGAGAGGUGGUGAACUAUGCUUGAGUAGGGUGAAGCCAGAGGAAACUCUGGUGGAGGCUCGAAGCGGUUCUGACGUGCAAAUCGAUCGUCAAAUUUGGGUAUAGGGGCGAAAGACUAAUCGAACCAUCUAGUAGCUGGUUUCCUC